UACGAAGGGGGCGAGCGUUGUUCGGAUUUACUGGGCGUAAAGGGCGCGCAGGCGGCGAUCUUUGUCAGGCGUGAAAGCCCUGGGCUUAACCUGGGAACUGCGCUUGGGACGGGAUUGCUGGAGACCGGGAGAGGAGAGUGGAAUUCCCAGUGUAGAGGUGAAAUUCGUAGAUAUUGGGAAGAACACCAGUGGCGAAGGCGGCUAACUGGUCCAGCACUGACGCUGAGGUGCGAAAGCGUGGGGAGCAAACAGG
rnacentral:rRNA from 1 species